GAGGAUGAAGUCCUUUAGGAUAUAAACUCCUUUAAUCCAAGACGAGUAUCCGGUAAUGGUGGAAGAAGCUGGGGCUAACUACGUGCCAGCAGCCGCGGUAAUAGGGAGGGAGCAAGCUUUGUUCGGAAUUACUGGGCGUAAAGAGUGUGUAGGCGGUGCUCUAAGUCUGUAGUGAAAUCUCCCGGCUCAACCGGGAGGGUGCGCCGAAUACUGAGGGACUAGAGUGCGGGAGAGGAAAGUGGAAUUCCUGGUGUAGCGGUGAAAUGCGUAGAUAUCAGGAGGAACACCGGUGGUGUAGACGGCUUUCUGGACCGUAACUGACGCUGAGACACGAAAGCGUGGGUAGCAAACAGGAUUAGAUACCCUGGUAGUCCACGCCCUAAACGAUGCAUAUUUGGUGUGGGUCAUUCAGUUGAUCCGUGCCGGAGCUAACGCGUUAAAUAUGCCGCCUGGGGAGUACAGUCGCAAGGCUGAAACUUAAAGGAAUUGACG
rnacentral:rRNA from 1 species